rnacentral:pre_miRNA from 12 species
AUGUUAAUGCUAAUCGUGAUAGGGGUUGCAAUUAAUCUGACACCUAACAUGAUAGCAUUAGCUU